GACGAACGCUGGCGGCGUGCUUAACACAUGCAAGUCGAACGGUGAUGACAGGGCUUGCCUUGUCUGAUCAGUGGCGAACGGGUGAGUAACACGUGAGUAACCUGCCCCAGACUCUGGGAUAACCCCGGGAAACCGGAGCUAAUACCGGAUAUGACCCUUGUACGCAUGUGCUGGGGGUGGAAAGUUUUUCGGUCUGGGAUGGGCUCGCGGCCUAUCAGCUUGUUGGUGAGGUAGUGGCUCACCAAGGCGACGACGGGUAGCCGGCCUGAGAGGGCGACCGGCCACACUGGGACUGAGACACGGCCCAGACUCCUACGGGAGGCAGCAGUGGGGAAUAUUGCACAAUGGGCGAAAGCCUGAUGCAGCGACGCCGCGUGAGGGAUGACGGCCUUCGGGUUGUAAACCUCUUUCAGCAGGGAAGAAGCGGAAGUGACGGUACCUGCAGAAGAAGCACCGGCUAACUACGUGCCAGCAGCCGCAGUAACAC
rnacentral:rRNA from 1 species